UGUAAAUUGAAAAUUUACAUGUAAAUUUGCACCUCAAAAAGGCCUAGCAUAUUCUAAUUUAAAUUCACUUAACUUAAAUAGUGACAGAUUAUGGUUGUUUGCAAUAUGAUCAAUUUAAUCAAAAACUGCAUAGAACUACCAGAGAGAUUUGCCUAUAUUAGUAGACCAAAAGAUUGGGUUGCAAACCCAGUCAUUGAAAUUUUAAGUAUUGAAGAAAUUCUAGAAAAUAAACAGCUGAUAAAUGAAUGAAUUUUAAGUUUGAGUAAAUAUAAGACCUAGUACAAUUUCAGAGUACUAAACUUAUUGUCAUCAUAAUGUAACCUUAAGUAGAGAAAAAGGAAGGGACAAUUUUGGUAUGAUGAUUUAAUAAUAGACCAAUACAAUUUUCUCUAAGUAGAGAAAUAAAAAUAUUUAAAUGCACCUCAAGUUUUUGUAAUAUGCAUUUUAAAUCUUAACAUUGUACAAGCACUUUGAGCCAGCAAUUCCAUUUUUC
rnacentral:lncRNA from 1 species